UUUUUUUGUUUGGUUUUCAAUAAAUAUCAUUAUAUCUGUUCUUAUCAGCUUAAUAUCUGAUACGCUCCUCAUUGAGGGGCCAGAAUAUUAAACUGAUUUUUGGAAAUAGGUAGAAGUCGGGGCUUGCUCUGACUCUACCACGGGUUGAUCUGGUAUUGCAGUACCACCAGAAACAGCCCACAUACU
rnacentral:snRNA from 1 species